UUUUUAGUAGAAACGGGGUUUUGCCAUGUUGGACAGGCUGGUCUCGAACCCCUGACCUCAAGUGAUCCGCCCGCCUCGGCCUCCCAAGUGCUGGGAUUACAGGCGUGAGCCACCGCGCCCAGCCCAGCUAUUUUCUAACUGCCCACACCUGGCCAAGCUGUGCACACAUCUGCUUCCACAGCUUGAAACUUGGGGUCAAAUCCAGGCUCACUCCAGCUGAUGACCCUGGGCAAGUCACUUCUCUCUGGACCUCAUCUGACGCAUCCAUAAAAUAAUCCUAGAAAUAACAAGUCACCGGGAUCGGGCCCUUGCUAGGUGCAAGGGCCUAAGCACCUUGCGCGUUCACACCCUUAAUCCCCGCCACGUCCCCCACGGUUCACAGGAGGCGCACUGGGCCGCAGGGCCCGGGCGCGGGACGUG
rnacentral:lncRNA from 10 species